rnacentral:rRNA from 1 species
UACGUAGGGCGCAAGCGUUUGUCCGGAAUUAUUGGGCGUAAAGAGCGUGUAGGCGGCCAGGUAGGUCUGCUGUGAAAACUCGAGGCUCAACCUCGAGACGUCGGCGGAAACCAUCUGGCUAGAGUCCGGAAGAGGAGAGUGGAAUUCCUGGUGUAGCGGUGAAAUGCGCAGAUAUCAGGAAGAACACCCGUGGCGAAGGCGGCUCUCUGGGGACGGUACUGACGCUGAGACGCGAAAAGCGUGGGGAGCGAACAGG